rnacentral:tRNA from 1 species
UGCGGUGGUACUCGUGCUGGUACGGGUGGGCGGCUGUUAACCGUCUUGACGCAGGUUCGAUUCCUGCCACCGCAGC